UAAAGGGGAAAAAAACAUUGCUGAAGGCUGAAGGACACUGCUGAAAUGUGCUACUUCCAUGAAAAUCUUGAGGCAAUUUGGAAUUCUGGCUCUGUCAAAUUAAGAAAAAGCCUGAAUACAGAAUUAUCGCAUUACCUGAAUACGGAGGACAGCAAGGGCAAAGGAACUGAGGAGUUUUACAACAUGGAUUGGAAGCAAAGAAACAGCAGAGGGGACUGAAAAAGAGAACCUUCAUUAGAAAGUUCUUCAUCAAUGAAGGAAAUUAAAUACUAGCAGUAUUAAUGUAAGACUUGAUUCUGCUGCCCCUGGAAUUAAUGGAAAUUUUCACAUCAAUUCUAGUGAGAACAAUAUUGGAGCUUUAUGCAUAUCUUUGAAGAUGAUUUAAACUAGAAGCCAGCAGCUGCAGAGCAGUACCUGGGUCAGAUAAGGACUAUACAAGUGCAACACAACUAUGUAGGUAUCAGCAUGGCAUUAAAGAGUAAUUACACUUGUAUUGGGAAACAGUAGGAGAAGCAGUUCAGUGUAGUAACAGUUCUAGCCAAGACUAAAGUGCAAGGUACAUAACUAUAGUCCAACCCUUACAAAUCAUAACCACAAAUUGCAGAUAUAAGACAGAAGACUGGAAACAAAAAUGAGGCAAUAGAAUGCCUGAUGUUAAGACACCACUGAAAUGUAAAUAGCACUGCUGAAUUAUAGUGAGUUAGAAUUAUAUUGGAUUAAUUCCCAGCUCUAAACUCCAGAGGAAAGGUGACUCAGAGGACUUAAAGCCAGCAAAAAACAAUACAUAUAGAAGAUCCUGCAUGCUAUGAAUUUUAGAUACCAAGUGCCAAGAGAAGGAUCUACACAGAUUCUAGAAAGCAGUUUGUACCACAAUUAGUACCUGAAUGGCCCUUCCACAAUACAAGUCAGGUUACCCAAAUUCCAUAAAGUUAUCCUAUGUUGCUUCYGCAGAGUUUGAGUGAUGCCCCCAAGACUAAUCCUUAUGAACAAACUGUUUUAUGUAGCUUUGUUCACAUGCACAGCAGCAAUAUGAYUGGGAGUGCCAUUUCAACCUCUUGUGCUUACUUGAUAUAAUAMUAUGUUUAAAUCUCUGAAUUUACCUUUAGUGGAUAAACGUUUGAGUCACACUCCAUGGUCUAUGUCACUCAAAUGCUAGGCCGAAGUAAGUAUGCGGGACAUUAUUAAUAGUUUU
rnacentral:lncRNA from 1 species